UACGUAGGGGGCGAGCGUUGUCCGGAUUUAUUGGGCGUAAAGAGCUCGUAGGCGGUUUGGCAAGUCGGGUGUGAAAACUCCGGGCUCAACUCGGAGACGCCACUCGAUACUGCUAUGACUCGAGUCCGGUAGGGGAGUGCGGAAUUCCUGGUGUAGCGGUGAAAUGCGCAGAUAUCAGGAGGAACACCGGUGGCGAAGGCGGCACUCUGGGCCGGAACUGACGCUGAAACGCGAAAGCGUGGGGAGCAAACAGG
rnacentral:rRNA from 1 species